rnacentral:rRNA from 1 species
AACGUAGGAGACAAACGUUAUCCGGAGUUACUGGGCGUAAAGGGCGUGUAGGUGGUAGAGUAAGUCUGGCGUGAAAUUUUUCGGCUUAACCGGGAAAGAUCGUCGGAUACUGCUUAACUAGAGGACGGUAGAGGCGUGUGGAAUUCCGGGUGUAGUGGUGAAAUGCGUAGAGAUCCGGAGGAACACCAGUGGCGAAGGCGACACGCUGGGCCGUACCUGACACUGAUGCGCGACAGCAUGGGGAGCAAACAGG